rnacentral:rRNA from 1 species
AACGAACGCUGGCGGCAGGCCUAACACAUGCCAGUCGAGCGAGGACUUCGGUUCUAGCGGCGGACGGGUGAGUAACGCGUGGGAAUGUGCCCUUCUCUACGGAAUAGCCCUGGGAAACUGGGAGUAAUACCGUAUACGCCCUAUUGGGGAAAGAUCUAUCGGAGAAGGAUCAGCCCGCGUUGGAUUAGGUAGUUGGUGGGGUAAUGGCCUACCAAGCCGACGAUCCAUAGCUGGUUUGAGAGGAUGAUCAGCCACACUGGGACUGAGACACGGCCCAGACUCCUACGGGAGGCAGCAGUGGGGAAUCUUAGACAAUGGGGGCAACCCUGAUCGAGCCAUGCCGCGUGAGUGAUGAAGGCCUUAGGGUUGUAAAGCUCUUUCAGCUGGGAAGAUAAUGACGGUACCAGCAGAAGAAGCCCCGGCUAACUCCGUG